GAUGAACGCUGGCGGCGUGCCUAAUACAUGCAAGUCGAGCGAACAGAUGAGGAGCUUGCUCCUCUGACGUUAGCGGCGGACGGGUGAGUAACACGUGGCUAACCUACCUAUAAGACUGGGAUAACUUAGGGAAACCGGAGCUAAUACCGGAUAAUAUAUUGAACCGCAUGGUUCAAUAGUGAAAGACGGCUUUGCUGUCCCUUAUAGAUGGAUCCGCGCCGCAUUAGCUAGUUGGUAAGGUAACGGCUUACCAAGGCAACGAUGCGUAGCCGACCUGAGAGGGUGAUCGGGCACACUGGAACUGAGACGCGGUCCAGACCCCUGCGGGAAGCAGCAGUAGGGAAUCUUCCGCAGUGUGCGAAGGCCUGACGGGGCGACGCCGCGUGAGUGGUGAAGGUCUGCGGAUCGUAAAACUCUGUUAAUAGGGAAGAACAAAUGUGUAAGGAACUAUGCACGGCUUGGCGGUACCUAAGCAGAAAGCCACGGCUAACUACGUG
rnacentral:rRNA from 1 species